rnacentral:rRNA from 1 species
UACGUAGGGGGCAAGCGUUAUCCGGAUUUACUGGGUGUAAAGGGAGCGCAGACGGCUGUGCAAGUCUGGAGUGAAAGGCGGGGGCCCAACCCCCGGACUGCUCUGGAAACUGUAAAGCUGGAGUGCAGGAGAGGUAAGCGGAAUUCCUAGUGUAGCGGUGAAAUGCGUAGAUAUUAGGAGGAACACCAGUGGCGAAGGCGGCUUACUGGACUGCAACUGACGUUGAGGCUCGAAAGCGUGGGGAGCAAACAGG